AUUGAACGCUGGCGGCAUGCCUUACACAUGCAAGUCGAACGGCAGCAUGGGUGCUUGCACCUGAUGGCGAGUGGCGAACGGGUGAGUAAUGCAUCGGAACGUACCCGGAAGUGGGGGAUAACGUAGCGAAAGUUACGCUAAUACCGCAUAUUCUGUGAGCAGGAAAGCGGGGGAUCGCAAGACCUCGCGCUUCCGGAGCGGCCGAUGUCGGAUUAGCUAGUUGGCGGGGUAAAGGCCCACCAAGGCAACGAUCCGUAGCGGGUCUGAGAGGAUGAGCCGGCACAAGGGGACUGAGACACGGCCCAGACUCCUACGGGAGGCAGCAGUGGGGAAUUUUGGACAAUGGGGGCAACCCUGAUCCAGCCAUGCCGCGUGAGUGAAGAAGGCCUUCGGGUUGUAAAGCUCUUUCGGCUGGGAAGAAAUCGCAUCUCCUAAUACGGGGUGUGGAUGACGGUACCAGCAUAAGAAGCACCGGCUAACUACGUGCCAGCAGCCGCAGUAAAAC
rnacentral:rRNA from 1 species